ACAUUUAUUUCAACAGACCGUUUUGCAGGGCAGAGGUCUAGCAGGCAUCAAGCCAUGCAGGCAAGGAGAAGACUUCUGCAGGGGAGGAGAACUUUCCAGAAGUCCCUGUGCCUGUUUCCCCCACGGGGCAGAACUUCAGGGGGUGUUUUUCUGUUCAUAAAAACACACUUUGAGGUUUCAGUUAUUUCAGGGGGGAAACUGAAACUGUCUGACCACCAAGGGCUGGGGGAGCAAUGGCAAGGCUGAGGCCACGAGCUGCCACCACGGGAGGUCAGGCAAAGGCACCAGAGAAAUGCCUCAAUUUUAGCAGGGGAGAAGUUAACCCUGAGGAGGAGGUGGCAGGUGCCCAAUGCAGGGCUGGGGCUUUGCUGGUCCUUCCAGACAACGGCAUCACCCCCUUCCCCUCUCUCUCCAGGGGGAACCAAUGUUUUACCAACAACCUCACCUACCUGGAGGUCGCUGCGGGUAACGCCACGCUGGUGAAGCACGCCAAGACCCAGCAAACUGAGGGGAUGCUGAUGAACAUGAGCUCUGAAAACCUUUUGCUCAUCCAGUACCAAAUGCAGAAGGAAAGGACGUAUUUGGGGCAGUAUCUCUACGCCCGGAGCCUGAGCCUGAGCACGGCUGACAAGGAGGAGUUUGAGCAGCACGUGGAGUGCCUGGGGCUGAGGGCAGAGCAGAUCGUGUACGCGCCGUGGAGAACGGUACCGAGCACCCCGAGAACCCCGAGCACCCCGAGCCACCACAGCCCCCUCCAGGCAGGGCUGCAGACCCGGGCUGCACCUCCAGCUGCCAAACUGGGCUCUUGGAGACACCUUUUCCACGUGUUGGAAAUUACUUAUAGGAUUAAAUAAUCACAGACUUGCUUCAGCCGAGGUUUAAAAUAGCAACCCCAAAGCCUGCACCUGAACAUCUCCACUGGGAACCCCCAAAACUGCCUGCCUACCCCUGCCAGGGGGGCAAUAGGCAAGGGAUUUUUGCCCUGAAGUUACUGAUUUUGCCUUGAAACCCCAGGUUUUGCCCCCUAGGAAUAACCAGCUGCCCCCAGGAGCUGAAGAAAGGGCAAGAGGCACCAGGGAUUUUUUCCCUUCGGGUUUUCCACCAAAACAUUAACCAGGUCCAGUUCUCACCUCUGCCACCCAAUUUAAGACAUUUUAUCCUGUAAAUGAGCCAGGCCCUGAGUCAGCUUGACAGGGGCUUCUGUUUGCAAAGUGAAGGUGAAAAACAUCUUAC
rnacentral:lncRNA from 1 species